GUGGGGAAUAUUGGACAAUGGGGGGAACCCUGAUCCAGCCAUGCCGCGUGUGUGAAGAAGGCCUUUUGGUUGUAAAGCACUUUAAGCGAGGAGGAGGCUACCGAGAUUAAUUCUCUUGGAUAGUGGACGUUACUCGCAGAAUAAGCACCGGCUAACUCUGUGCCAGCAGCCGCGGUAAUACAGAGGGUGCAAGCGUUAAUCGGAUUUACUGGGCGUAAAGCGCGCGUAGGUGGCCAAUUAAGUCAAAUGUGAAAUCCCCGAGCUUAACUUGGGAAUUGCAUUCGAUACUGGUUGGCUAGAGUAUGGGAGAGGAUGGUAGAAUUCCAGGUGUAGCGGUGAAAUGCGUAGAGAUCUGGAGGAAUACCGAUGGCGAAGGCAGCCAUCUGGCCUAAUACUGACACUGAGGUGCGAAAGCAUGGGGAGCAAACAGGAUUAGAUACCCUGGUAGUCC
rnacentral:rRNA from 1 species